rnacentral:rRNA from 1 species
CAAUAGCAUAUAUUAAAGUUGUUGCAGUUAAAAAGCUCGUAGUUGGAUUUCUGGUUUGAUGCCCUGGCCCGCUGCCAUUUUGGUAGUGUGUGCCGGUUGUGCGUCUGCCAUCCUUCUAGGGAACGUUCCUUCUCUUCACUGAGCCGGGUUCGUGAUCUAGAUCGUUUACUUUGAAAAAUUAGAGUGUUUAAAGCAGGCUUUUGCUAUGAAUACAUUAGCAUGGAAUAAUAAUAUAGGACUUUGGUUCUAUUUUGUUGGUUUCUAGGACUAAAGUAAUGAUUGAUAGGGAUAGUUGGGGGUGCUAGUAUUCAGCGGCCAGAGGUGAAAUUCUUGGAUUCGCUGAAGACUAACUUAUGCGAAAGCAUUCACCAAGGAUGUCUUCUUUAAUCAAGAACGAAAGUUGGGGGAUCGAAGACGAUUAGAUACCAU